UUUUUUCUCUUCCGCAUGUUCUGAUUCUGAAAUAACUGCUGCCCUCUUCUCAUUAUGCUGCCUCACUUGCUCUUCUAAGCGACCUCUCUGAUCCAUAGGAUCAGUCAAUUCGGAAAAUGCAUUGGCCAGUUCACGACCACAGAUGAAGAAAAUCUCUCAGUCAAGCCAAUGUGCCUUCGAUGUGGUUUGGCUAAAGGAGAUAUCUCAAUAGGAUAGUCCAAAACAAAUGUGGGUUGCAAGAGCUUCGGCUCUACAACAAUUUCAAAAACCUCAUUAAGGAGGUGGCCGACAGAAGGGCAUGCUUCAAUGGCAGAUUUGUCUUUAUUUUCAAGCACAGGUCCAAGUGUCUUCAAAGUAGUAUCUUUAGCUAGUUUUAGAUCAUUACUCAGCUCACUGAAAUCAAUCUCUGUGGCCUCUUUUACAAGAUUGUGCAUAGUUUCCCUCCUCCAAGGUCGGUCUAGACAAAUCUCUACCCCCUGGUAAUCAAUGGUAAGCUUCCCAUGAACAGCAAGAGCACAGUGAGUAACAAUUUCCUCUGCCAUGUUCAUCAUGCUUUGGUAGUCUGAAAAUGCUUCAUACAUCUCUAUUGUGGUGAAUUCUGGAUUAUGACGAGUUGAAAUGCCCUCAUUUCUGAAAAUUCGUCCAAUCUCAUAUACUUUCUCAAAUCCCCCAACCAACAUUCUCUUUAAGUGAAGCUCAGUUGCAAUUCUCAGAUAAAGAUCCCUUCCAAGAGAAUUAUGAUAUGUUACAAAUGGCCUAGCUUCUGCUCCACCAGCUGCUCCCUGUAGAACUGGAGUUUCAACUUCGACAAAACCUAAUGACUCCACUGUCUUGCGAAUCUCAGAAACAAUCUUAGCUCUUUUACGGAACACAUCAGCA
rnacentral:misc_RNA from 1 species